GACAGAGGGUGCAAACGUUGUUCGGAAUUACUGGGCGUAAAGCGCGUGUAGGCGGCCCUGCAAGUCGGAUGUGAAAUCCCACGGCUCAACCGUGGAAGUGCACUCGAAACUGCAGGGCUAGAGUCCUGGAGAGGAAGGUGGAAUGCUUGGUGUAGAGGUGAAAUUCGUAGAUAUCAAGCGGAACACCGGUGGCGAAGGCGGCCUUCUGGACAGUGACUGACGCUGAGACGCGAAAGCGUGGGGAGCAAACCGG
rnacentral:rRNA from 1 species